AUUGAACGCUGGCGGCAGGCUUAACACAUGCAAGUCGAGCGGAUGAGUGGAGCUUGCUCCAUGAUUCAGCGGCGGACGGGCGAGUCAUGCCUAGGAAUCUGCCUGGUAGUGGGGGACAACGCUUCGAAAGGAACGCUAAUACCGCAAACGUCCUACGGGAGACAGUGGGGGAUCUUCGGACCUCACUCUCUCAGAUGAGCCUAGGUAGGAUUAGCUAGUUGGUGAGGUAAAGGCUCACCAAGGCGACGAUCCGUAACUGGUCUGAGAGGAUGAUCAGUCACACUGGAACUGAGACACGGUCCAGACUCCUACGGGAGGCAGCAGUGGGGAAUAUUGGACAAUGGGCGAAAGCCUGAUCCAGCCAUGCCGCGUGUGUGAAGAAGGUCUUCGGAUUGUAAAGCACUUUAAGUUGGGAGGAAGGGCAGUAAGUUAAUACCUUGCUGUUUUGACGUUACCAACAGAAUAAGCACCGGCUAACUUCGUGCCAGCAGCCGCGGUAACAC
rnacentral:rRNA from 1 species